rnacentral:rRNA from 1 species
UUAAAGUCUAAUCUGCCCACUGAUUAAUUAAUUAAAGGGCUGCAGUAUAUUGACUGUACAAAGGUAGCAUAAUCAUUAGUCUCUUAAUUGGAGACUUGUAUGAAAGAUUUGAUGAAAUAUAAACUGUCUCUAAUUUAUUAAUAAAAAUUAAUUUUUUAGUUAAAAAGCUAAAAUUUAAUUAAAAGACGAGAAGACCCUAUAGAGUUUUAUAUUUAUUUAUUAAUUAUAUAUAUAUAUAUAUAUAUAUAUAUAAAUUUAUUUAAUUAAUAAAAAAUAUUGUAUUGGGGUGAUAAAAAAAUUAACUAAACUUUUUUUAAAAUUUAAAUAUAAAUAAGUAAAAAAUUGAUCCAUUAAUAAUGAUUAAAAGAAAAAAUUACCUUAGGGAUAACAGCGUAAUAUUUUUUUUUAGAACAAAUAAAAAAAAAAGUUUGCGACCUCGAUGUUGGAUUAAGAUAAAAUUUAAAUGCAAAAGUUUAAAAUUUUGAUCUGUUCGAUCAUUAAAAUCUUACAUGAUCUGA